rnacentral:tRNA from 1 species
GGGGGCAUGGCGAAAUUGGUAGACGCAGCGGACUUAAAAUCCGCAGGCCGUAAGGCUGUGGGGGUUCAAGUCCCCCUGCCCCCA